rnacentral:rRNA from 1 species
CGAACGCUGGCGGCGUGCUUCACACAUGCAAGUCGAACGCUGAAGCUUGGUGCUUGCACUGGGUGGAUGAGUGGCGAACGGGUGAGUAAUACGUGAGUAACCUGCCCUUGACUCUGGGAUAAGCCUGGGAAACUGGGUCUAAUACUGGAUACGACAUGUCACCGCAUGGUGGUGUGUGGAAAGGGUUUUACUGGUUUUGGACGGGCUCACGGCCUAUCAGCUUGUUGGUGGGGUAAUGGCUCACCAAGGCGACGACGGGUAGCCGGCCUGAGAGGGUGACCGGCCACACUGGGACUGAGACACGGCCCAGACUCCUACGGGAGGCAGCAGUGGGGAAUAUUGCACAAUGGGCGGAAGCCUGAUGCAGCGACGCCGCGUGAGGGAUGACGGCCUUCGGGUUGUAAACCUCUUUCAGCACGGAAGAAGCGAAAGUGACGGUACGUGCAGAAGAAGCGCCGGCUAACUACGUG